rnacentral:misc_RNA from 1 species
CUGUCCUCAAAUUUCCCUUCCCUUUUUGGUAGCCACCAAAAUCCUCCAUGUUCAUAUUUUGCAAAUCCUAUCUUCAUCACUUCGCAAUCUUCUUCCUCUUCAUAGUUGUCAAAUUUCUCUCAAUUUCAGUCUCUGGCUACACCUUCUUCCCAGCUGAUUACAUUCUUGUUGACUGUGGUGCCUCUGGCAACUCAACAAGCCUUGAUGGCCGACAGUGGACAGGAGAUGUUGGGUCAAAAUUUAUUUCCUUAAAUGAUUCAAUUGAUACAAGCUCAUCCUCUAAAGCCCUUGAUCUACCCACAUCUGCUUACCCUGUCCCGUACAGGACUGUUAGAAUUUUUCAUUCUCAAUUGAUAUACGCUUUUCAUGUUAGUUCAGGCCAGAAAUUUAUACGCUUGUACUUCAACCCCACUUCAGUCCAGGAGCUCAAUAGGUCUAAGGCCUUUUUCAAUGUUACAACUGGUCCCUUCACCCUCCUUAGUAACUUCAGCCUUUCCUCUUUCGCUGAUUCCUUUGUUAAAGAAUUCUGCAUAAACAUAGGAGAGAAUCAGGUUUUGAAUGUAACUUUUAGUCCUGACACUUCAAAUGGUGCAUAUGGGAUUAUCAGUGGAAUAGAGAUUGUGUCCAUGCCUACUAGUCUUUAUUAUACUGGAACAGGACAUAACAUCGGUCGCUAUCUUCAGAACCACACAGCUCUUGAGAUGAUUCACCGAUUAAAUGUAGGCAGAAGCUCCAUAUUACCUGUAAAUGAUUCGGGCAUGUUUCGGAGCUGGAUUGAAGACAGAUAUUUUGUGUUUAAUUUGCCUUCCACACGAGAAAUUACCAAUAGAACAACUCGCAUCAACUUCACAACAAUCCCUUCUUAUGCUGCUCCAAGAGAGCUCUACCAAACCGCUCGGUCCACAGGCAAAGGGAUGAAUCUUACAUGGAAAUUACCUGUAGAUUCAGGUUUCAAGUAUCUUGUGAGACUCCACUUCUGUGAGCUGCAACUGAAUAAAAAAAGAGGAGACAGGGAGUUCCAAAUUUUCAUUGCUAAUAGAAUGGUCGAACCUUCUGCAGAUAUAAUUAGAUGGACUGGU